rnacentral:rRNA from 1 species
UGGGGGAUUUUCCGCAAUGGGCGAAAGCCUGACGGAGCAAUGCCGCGUGGAGGUGGAAGGCCUACGGGUCGUCAACUCCUUUUCUCGGAGAAGAAACAAUGACGGUAUCUGAGGAAUAAGCAUCGGCUAACUCUGUGCAG